AAAUGUAGUUUCAGAAGUAUAAUGCCUACAGAACAGUUCAAAAUUACAAAAGAAAAUUGCUGCUACAAUAACAACAACAACAACGAGGACCCAAUAAAAUCCCAUUAGUGGGGUCUGGGGUGGGUAGUGUGUACGCAGACCUUACCCCUACCCUGUAGGGUAGAGAGGUUGUUUCCGAAAAUAUUGCUGGUACAAUAAACUAUUAAUGAUCUUUUUCUUCCGAGCUUCAGCUGUAACAAUAUUUCUUCACACUAAAAGACCAAAGGAGAGCAUCACCAAACUGGCAUGAUAUUUAAGUAUAGCGUGAACUAGGAUCCAGCAGAUACUUUUUGCAGUAAGCUACAAAUACUAAUGAUU
rnacentral:lncRNA from 1 species